rnacentral:rRNA from 1 species
GACGAACGCUGGCGGCGUGCCUAAUACAUGCAAGUCGAACGCAGUGGGGACGGGUGCGUAACACGUGGCUAACCUCCCAUCUGAGGGGAUACCCCUUGGAAACAGGUGCUAAACCGAUACUGAUGGAUGAACCCGCGGUGCAUUAGCUAGUUGGUGAGGUAACGGCUCACCAAGGCCACGAUGCAUAGCCGGCCUGAGAGGGUGAACGGCCAAACUGGGACUGAGACACGGCCAAGACUCCUACGGGAGGAAGGAGUAGGGAAUCUGCGGCAAUGGACGAAAGUCUGACCGAGCAACGCCGCGUGAGUGAAGAAGGUUUUCGGAUCGUAAAACUCUGUUGUUAGAGAAGCGGUAUCUAACCAGAAAGCAACGGCUAACUACGUGCCAGCAGCCGCGGUAAUUC